UCCUCAGGUAGGAUAACUCUUACCCAUUCCUCUAUUUGAGGGCAGUUAGAACAGGAUGAUCGGUGUUUGGAUAAUUUGUGAUUAACGUCUCUGCACUAUUAGGGCUUACAACAUCUAGUCACUGAUUAUUCCUGAA
ensembl:snoRNA U8 U8 small nucleolar RNA